CGAGGAAUAUUGGUCAAUGGGCGCAAGCCUGAACCAGCCAUCCCGCGUGCAGGAAGACGGCGCUAUGCGUUGUAAACUGCUUUUCCAGGGGGAGAAACUUGCGCACGUGUUGCGCAAUUGACGGUACCCUGGGAAUAAGCAUCGGCUAACUCCGUGCCAGCAGCCGCGGUAAUACGGAGGAUGCGAGCGUUAUCCGGAUUCAUUGGGUUUAAAGGGUGCGUAGGCGGACUAUUAAGUCAGUGGUGAAAUCCUGCAGCUUAACUGCAGAACUGCCAUUGAUACUGAUAGCCUUGAGUUUGGUUAAGGUAGGCGGAAUGUGUAAUGUAGCGGUGGAAUGCUUAGAUAUUACACAGAACACCAAUUGCGUAGGCAGCUUACUGAGCCGACACUGACGCUGAGGCACGAAAGCGUGGGGAUCAAACAG
rnacentral:rRNA from 1 species